GCCCUUCGGGGUACUCGAGUGGCGAACGGGUGAGUAACACGUGGGUGAUCUGCCCUGCACUUUGGGAUAAGCCUGGGAAACUGGGUCUAAUACCGAAUACACCCUUCUGGCUGCAUGGUCUGGGAGGGGAAAGCUUUUGCGGUGUGGGAUGGGCCCGCGGCCUAUCAGCUUGUUGGUGAGGUUACGGCUCACCAAGGCGACGACGGGUAGCCGGCCUGAGAGGGUGACCGGCCACACUGGGACUGAGAUACGGCCCAGACUCCUACGGGAGGCAGCAGUGGGGAAUAUUGCACAAUGGGCGCAAGCCUGAUGCAGCGACGCCGCGUGAGGGAUGACGGCCUUCGGGUUGUAAACCUCUUUCGCCAGGGACGAAGCGCAAGUGACGGUACCUGGAGAAGAAGGACCGGCCAACUACGUGCCAGCAGCCGCGGUAAUACGUAGGGUCCGAGCGUUGUCCGGAAUUACUGGGCGUAAAGAGCUCGUAGGUGGUUUGUCGCGUUGUUCGUGAAAACUCACAGCUCAACUGUGGGCGUGCGGGCGAUACGGGCAGACUGGAGUACUGCAGGGGAGACUGGAAUUCCUGGUGUAGCGGUGGAAUGCGCAGAUAUCAGGAGGAACACCGGUGGCGAAGGCGGGUCUCUGGGCAGUAACUGACGCUGAGGAGCGAAAGCGUGGGGAGCGAACAGGAUUAGAUACCCUGGUAGUCCACGCCGUAAACGGUGGGUACUAGGUGUGGGUUUCCUUCCUUGGGAUCCGUGCCGUAGCUAACGCAUUAAGUACCCCGCCUGGGGAGUACGGCCGCAAGGCUAAAACUCAAAGAAAUUGACGGGGGCCCGCACAAGCGGCGGAGCAUGUGGAUUAAUUCGAUGCAACGCGAAGAACCUUACCUGGGUUUGACAUGCACAGGACGUGCCUAGAGAUAGGUAUUCCCUUGUGGCCUGUGUGCAGGUGGUGCAUGGCUGUCGUCAGCUCGUGUCGUGAGAUGUUGGGUUAAGUCCCGCAACGAGCGCAACCCUUAUCUUAUGUUGCCAGCGCGUAAUGGCGGGGACUCGUGAGAGACUGCCGGGGUCAACUCGGAGGAAGGUGGGGAUGACGUCAAGUCAUCAUGCCCCUUAUGUCCAGGGCUUCACACAUGCUACAAUGGCCGGUACAAAGGGCUGCGAUGCCGUGAGGUGGAGCGAAUCCUUUCAAAGCCGGUCUCAGUUCGGAUCGGGGUCUGCAACUCGACCCCGUGAAGUCGGAGUCGCUAGUAAUCGCAGAUCAGCAACGCUGCGGUGAAUACGUUCCCGGGCCUUGUACACACCGCCCGUCACGUCAUGAAAGUCGGUAACACCCGAAGCCGGUGGCCUAACCC
rnacentral:rRNA from 1 species